rnacentral:rRNA from 1 species
AAGCGGUGGAGUAUGUGUUAAUUCGAUGCAACGCGAAGAACCUUACCUGGUCUUGACAUCCCGGAGACCCUUAGGAAACUAGGGGGUGCUUCCAUCUGGAAGAAUCUGGAGACAGGUGCUGCAUGGCUGUCGUCAGCUCGUGUCGUGAGAUGUUGGGUUAAGUCCCGCAACGAGCGCAACCCUUGCCUUUAGUUGCCAGCAGUUCGGCUGGGCACUCUAAAGGGACUGCCGGUGUUAAACCGGAGGAAGGUGGGGAUGACGUCAAGUCCUCAUGGCCUUUAUGACCAGGGCUACACACGUACUACAAUGGCCGAUACAAAGGGCAGCGACACUGCGAGGUGAAGCCAAUCCCGUAAAAUCGGUCUCAGUCCGGAUUGGAGUCUGCAACUCGACUCCAUGAAGUUGGAAUCGCUAGUAAUCGUGAAUCAGAAUGUCACGGUGAAUACGUUCCCGGGCCUU